UAACAAGGAUUCCCCUAGUAACUGCGAGUGAAGCGGGAAAAGCUCAAAUUUAAAAUCUGGCGGUCUCCGGCCGUCCGAGUUGUAAUUUAGAGAAGCGUUAUCCGUGCUGGACCGUGUAUAAGUCUCCUGGAAUGGAGCGUCAUAGAGGGUGAGAAUCCCGUCUUUGACACGGACUACCAGUGCAUUGUGAUGCGCUCUCGACGAGUCGAGUUGUUUGGGAAUGCAGCUCAAAAUGGGUGGUAAAUGCCAUCUAAAGCUAAAUAUUGGCGAGAGACCGAUAGCGAACAAGUACCGUGAGGGAAAGAUGAAAAGAACUUUGGAAAGAGAGUUAAACAGUACGUGAAAUUGUCGAAAGGGAAACGGUUGCAGUCAGUCGCGUCCGCCGGGGAUCAACCUUGCUUUUGCUUGGCGUAUUUCCCGGUGGAUGGGUCAGCAUCAGUUUUGACCGCAGUUGAAAGGCUGGAGGAAUGUGGCACCUUCGGGUGUGUUAUAGCCUCCUGUCAUAUGCUGCGGUUGGGACUGAGGAACUCAGCACGCCGCAAGGCCGGGAUUCGUCCACGUUCGUGCUUAGGAUGCUGGCAU
rnacentral:rRNA from 1 species